UACUAAAAGUUUAAUCAAUUUGUACUAUUAAAAAUUGACGUGAUUGAUGAAAUAAUCAAAAAAUAACACGUGGCACCUCAUGCUGACAUAUAAAGAUUAAUUUUUAAUAGAAUAAAUGAAUGUAAAUUUUAACA
rnacentral:pre_miRNA from 1 species